rnacentral:rRNA from 1 species
CCUACGGGUGACAGCAGUGGGGAAUAUUGGGCAAUGGGCGCAAGCCUGACCCAGCAACGCCGCGUGAAGGAAGAAGGCCUUCGGGUUGUAAACUUCUUUUGACAGGGAAGAGUAGAAGACGGUACCUGUAGAAUAAGCCACGGCUAACUACGUGCCAGCAGCCGGGGUAAUACGGAGGUGGCAAGCGUUGUCCGGAUUUACUGGGUGUAAAGGGCGUGUAGCCGGGUUGACAAGUCAGAUGUGAAAUCCUGCGGCUUAACCGCAGAACUGCAUUUGAAACUGUUGAUCUUGAGUACUGGAGAGGCAGACGGAAUUCCUAGUGUAGGAGUGAAAUCCGUAGAUAUCUGGAGGAACAUCAGUGGCGAAGGCGACUAUCUGGCACAUAACUGACGCUGAGGAGCGAAAGCGUGGGUAGCAAACAGGAUUAGAUACCCCAGUAGUC